rnacentral:rRNA from 1 species
GACGAACGCUGGCGGCGUGCUUAACACAUGCAAGUCGAACGGAAAGGCCCUGCUUUUGUGGGGUGCUCGAGUGGCGAACGGGUGAGUAACACGUGAGUAACCUGCCCUUGACUUUGGGAUAACUUCAGGAAACUGGGGCUAAUACCGGAUAGGAGCUCCUGCUGCAUGGUGGGGGUUGGAAAGUUUCGGCGGUUGGGGAUGGACUCGCGGCUUAUCAGCUUGUUGGUGGGGUAGUGGCUUACCAAGGCUUUGACUGGUAGCCGGCCUGAGAGGGUGACCGGCCACAUUGGGACUGAGAUACGGCCCAGACUCCUACGGGAGGCAGCAGUGGGGAAUAUUGCACGAUGGGCGGAAUCCUGAUGCAGCAACGCCGCGUGCGGGAUCACGGCCUUCGGGGUGUAAACCGCUUUCGCCUGUGACGAAGCGUGAGUGACGGUAAUGGGUAAAGAAGCACCGGCUAACUACGUG